rnacentral:lncRNA from 1 species
CUGGCAUUUUGACAGCUUGUACAGGCAUGCACAGCUUUGUCUGUGUGAAAGUGAAACGUAAAGCUUGCAGUUCCACAUCUAUCAACCAUGGGCCAGAGAGAAUUACGGAAUUUUUUAUUCUGUCUGCAGCUACUCAGCAUCAGCUGGGCAGCAGGUCCUCCCCAGUUUGUACGUGUUCUGCCUGUUGAGAUCACAUCACUGUCAGCAGUUUACCAGUGUAUUGCUGAAGCUGAUCCCAGCCCCACAAAGUACACAUGGACAAGAGAAAACCAGCUGGUCCUCAAGGGGGCAUUGAGAGCAGAAGAAGAUAAACUGUAUUUCUUGAAGCUUACGGCUGAUUUGAAUGGCCUCUACUUUUGUGAGGUUGAAAAUGCACACGGAACUGCUAAGGGCUCCAUAUAUGUGCACUAUGAAUCACCCGGUGAGUCAUUUGAUACCUACUAUAUUUAUCUGGCCGCAUCAAUCUUGGUUGCUGUGGGCUUUUUCAGCUUCAUCAUUCUUUGGAAAAGAGCCUGUGGAAAUAAUGCUGUGGGACAACCAAGAAGAUCACCAGUGUGACAUUUCAGAUGUGCAUAAAAUUAGUUGUGUCUGAAAUGCAAAGUGGCAAUAAGAAAUUUUAAAUGAUACAAAUGAGUGACAAUACGUGUGAACUGAAAAGUAUGGGGUAAACUGGAUGGACUUUUGAAAAAAAAAUAUCAUAUUUUAGUUUUUAUAAUUAUUAUAAAUGAUAUUCAGCAG